UCUAUGGGGCAGGGAUCUAUGGGGCAGGGUUCUAUCGGGCAGGGAUCUAUGGGGCAGUGAUCUAUGGGGCAGGGGUCUAUGGGGCAGGGUUCUAUGGGGCAGGGAUCUAUGGGGCAGGGUCUAUGGGGCAGGGAUCUAUGGGGCAGGGAUCUAUGGGGCAGGGUUCCGUGGGUCCGGGCCGUGGGGCGCCCCACUCACAGCCCACGCGGCAGUACUCCACCACGUAGCCGUCGACGCCGCCGGCCCCCACGCGCUCGGGGGGGCGCCACUUGAGGGUGGCCGUGGUGUCGGUGACGUCCUCCAGCACCAGGUGGGUGGGCUCGCUGGUGGGGGCUGCGCACAGCCGUCACCCCCCC